AGCGAACGCUGGCGGCAGGCCUAACACAUGCAAGUCGAACGAACCCUUCGGGGUUAGUGGCGGACGCGGGUGUCACACGUCGGACCGUUCCUUUAGGCUCGGAAUACUACAGGGUCACGUGUGCUAAUACCGAAUGUGUCCCUCUGGUACAAGAUAUAUCGCCUUUAGAACGGCCGGCGUCUGUUUAGCUAGUUGGUAGAGGUAAUGGCUCACCAAGGCGACGUUCAGUAGCUGGUCUGAGAGGAUGAUCAGCCACAUUGGGACUGAGACACGGCCCAAACUCCUACGGGAAGCAGCAGUGGGGAAUCUUGCGCAAUGGGCGAAAGCCUGACGCAGCCAUGCCGCGUGAAUGAUGAAGGUCUUAGGAUUGUAAAAUUCUUUCACCGGGGACGAUAAUGACGGUACCCGGAGAAGAAGCCCCGGCUAACUUCGUG
rnacentral:rRNA from 1 species